rnacentral:rRNA from 1 species
UGGGGAAUAUUGGACAAUGGGGGGAACCCUGAUCCAGCCAUGCCGCGUGUGUGAAGAAGGCCUUAUGGUUGUAAAGCACUUUAAGUUGGGGGGAAGGGCAGUAAAUUAAUACUUUGCUGUUUUGACGUUACCGACAGAAUAAGCACCGGCUAACUCUGUGCCAGCAGCCGCGGUAAUACAGAGGGUGCAAGCGUUAAUCGGAAUUACUGGGCGUAAAGCGCGCGUAGGUGGUUCGUUAAGUUGGAUGUGAAAUCCCCGGGCUCAACCUGGGAACUGCAUUCAAAACUGACGAGCUAGAGUAUGGUAGAGGGUGGUGGAAUUUCCUGUGUAGCGGUGAAAUGCGUAGAUAUAGGAAGGAACACCAGUGGCGAAGGCGACCACCUGGACUGAUACUGACACUGAGGUGCGAAAGCGUGGGGAGCAAACAGGAUUAGAUACCCAUGUAGUCCCUGAGCGGGCUGGCAAGGCGCAU